rnacentral:rRNA from 1 species
UACAGGGGGGGCAAGCGUUGUUCGGAAUUACUGGGCGUAAAGGGCUCGUAGGUGGCCACCUAAGUCAGACGUGAAAUCCCUCAGCUUAACUGGGGAACUGCGUCUGAUACUGGGUGGCUUGAGUGCAGGAGAGGAAUGCGGAAUUCCAGGUGUAGCGGUGAAAUGCGUAGAUAUCUGGAGGAACACCGGUGGCGAAGGCGGCAUUCUGGACUGUAACUGACACUGAGGAACGAAAGCCAGGGGAGCAAACGGG